AAGUCGUAACAAGGUUUCCGUAGGUGAACCUGCGGAAGGAUCAUUACUGAAUUUAAUUCCGGGGUUGUAGCUGGCCAUGAAUUUGGCAUGUGCACACCCUGGUAAAUCCAAAUCUUUACACCUUUGUGCACCAUUCAUGAGAUUGAUGAGUCUAUCUUGGCGCCAGCGCUGGUAGUUUUGUUUUUCUCAUGCUUUAUAUUAUACACCUUUCAGUAAAGAAUGUUUAUUGCGUUUGACGCAUUUUAAUACAACUUUCAGCAACGGAUCUCUUGGCUCUC
rnacentral:misc_RNA from 1 species